GACGAACGCUGGCGGCGUGCUUAACACAUGCAAGUCGAACGGAAAGGCCUGUCCUUCCUUGUGUUGGACGGGUACUCGAGUGGCGAACGGGUGAGUAACACGUGAGUGAUCUGCCCCCAACUUGGGUAUAAGCCUGGGAAACUGGGUCUAAUUCCCGAUAGGACUGCAGGGCGGUGCCUGUGGUGGAAAACGAUUUUCUAGUGGUUGGGGAUGAGCUCGCGGCCUAUCAGCUUGUUGGUGGGGUAAUGGCCUACCAAGGCGGCGACGGGUAGCCGGCCUGAGAGGGUGGACGGCCACAUUGGGACUGAGAUACGGCCCAGACUCCUACGGGAGGCAGCAGUGGGGAAUAUUGCACAAUGGGCGGAAGCCUGAUGCAGCGACGCCGCGUGGGGGAUGACGGCCUUCGGGUUGUAAACUCCUUUCGACCGCGAGGAAGCCGCCUGGUUGGAAGGGUGGUGACGGUAGUGGUAGAAGAAGCACUGGCUAACUACGUG
rnacentral:rRNA from 1 species